rnacentral:rRNA from 1 species
CGAACGAGAGAAUUGCUAGCUUGCUAAUAAUUCUCUAGUGGCACACGGGUGAGUAACACGUGAGUAACCUGCCCCCGAGAGCGGGAUAGCCCUGGGAAACUGGGAUUAAUACCGCAUAGUAUCGAAAGAUUAAAGCAGCAAUGCGCUUGGGGAUGGGCUCGCGGCCUAUUAGUUAGUUGGUGAGGUAACGGCUCACCAAGGCGAUGACGGGUAGCCGGUCUGAGAGGAUGUCCGGCCACACUGGAACUGAGACACGGUCCAGACACCUACGGGUGGCAGCAGUCGAGAAUCAUUCACAAUGGGGGAAACCCUGAUGGUGCGACGCCGCGUGGGGGAAUGAAGGUCUUCGGAUUGUAAACCCCUGUCAUGUGGGAGCAAAUUAAAAAGAUAGUACCACAAGAGGAAGAGACGGCUAACUCUGUGCCAGCAGCCGCGGUAAUACAGAGGUCUCAAGCGUUGUUCGGAAUCACUGGGCGUAAAGCGUGCGUAGGCUGUUUCGUAAGUCGUGUGUGAAAGGCGCGGGCUCAACCCGCGGACGGCACCUGAUACUGCGAGACUAGAGUAAUGGAGGGGGAACCGGAAUUCUCGGUGUAGCAGUGAAAUGCGUAGAUAUCGAGAGGAACACUCGUGGCGAAGGCGGGUUCCUGGACAUUAACUGACGCUGAGGCACGAAGGCCAGGGGAGCGAAAGGGAUUAGAUACCCCUGUAGUCCUGGCAGUAAACGGUGCACGCU